rnacentral:rRNA from 1 species
CCUACGGGGGGCAGCAGUGAGGAAUAUUGGUCAAUGGACGAGAGUCUGAACCAGCCAAGUAGCGUGAAGGAUGACUGCCCUAUGGGUUGUAAACUUCUUUUAUAUGGGAAUAAAAUGUUCCACGUGUGGGAUUUUGUAUGUACCAUAUGAAUAAGGAUCGGCUAACUCCUUGCCAGCAGCCGCGGUAAUACGGAGGAUCCGAGCGUUAUCCGGAUUUAUUGGGUUUAAAGGGAGCGUAGGUGGAUUGUUAAGUCAGUUGUGAAAGUUUGCGGCUCAACCGUAAAAUUGCAGUUGAAACUGGCAGUCUUGAGUACAGUAGAGGUGGGCGGAAUUCGUGGUGUAGCGGUGAAAUGCUUAGAUAUCACGAAGAACUCCGAUUGCGAAGGCAGUUCACUGGACUGCAACUGACACUGAGGCUCGAAAGUGUGGGUAUCAAACAGGAUUAGAUACCCUUGUAGUC